UGCUUUGGGAACUCAACUAAGUGAAAGUU
rnacentral:piRNA from 1 species